UACGGGGGGGGGCAAGCGUUGUUCGGAAUUACUGGGCGUAAAGGGCUCGUAGGCGGCCAACUAAGUCAGACGUGAAAUCCCCUCGGCUUAACCGGGGAACUGCAUCUGAUACUGGAUGGCUUGAGUUCGGGAGAGGGAUGCGGAAUUCCAGGUGUAGCGGUGAAAUGCGUAGAUAUCUGGAGGAACACCGGUGGCGAAGGCGGCAUCCUGGACCGACACUGACGCUGAGGAGCGAAAGCCAGGGGAGCAAAGCGGG
rnacentral:rRNA from 1 species